rnacentral:rRNA from 1 species
UACGUAGGGGGCAAGCGUUGUCCGGAAUCAUUGGGCGUAAAGAGCGUGUAGGCGGCUCGAUAAGUCUGCUGUGAAAGUCCAGGGCUCAACCCUGGAAGGCCGGUGGAAACUGUCGGGCUAGAGUCCGGGAAGAGGCGAGUGGAAUUCCCGGUGUAGCGGUGAAAUGCGCAGAUAUCGGGAGGAACACCAAUGGCGAAGGCAGCUCGCUGGGACGGUACUGACGCUGAGACGCGAAAGCGUGGGGAGCAAACAGG